rnacentral:rRNA from 1 species
GUGAAAUCCUAUGGCUCAACCAUAGAACUGCAUCCAAAACUGAGGGGCUAGAGUCUGGGAGGGGAAGAUGGAAUUAGUGGUGUAGGGGUAAAAUCCGUAGAGAUCACUAGGAAUACCAAAAGCGAAGGCGAUCUUCUGGAACAGUACUGACGCUGAGGCGCGAAAGCGUGGGGAGCAAACAGGAUUAGAUACCCUGGUAGUCCACGCCCUAAACUAUGAAUGUUAGUCGUCGGGAGGCUCGUCCUCUCGGUGAUGCAGCUAACGCAUUAAACAUUCCGCCUGGGGAGUACGGUCGCAAGAUUAAAACUCAAAGGAAUAGACGGGGACCCGCACAAGUGGUGGAGCAUGUGGUUUAAUUCGAAGAUACGCGAAGAACCUUACCUGGCCUUGACAUUGAUAGAAUCUGCUAGAGAUAGCGGAGUGCCCUUCGGGGAGCUUGAAAACAGGUGCUGCACGGCUGUCGUCAGCUCGUGUCGUGAGAUGUUGGGUUAAGUCCCGCAACGAGCGCAACCCUCGUCACUAGUUACUAACGGUUCGGCCGAGGACUCUAGUGAGACUGCCUUCGUAAGGAGGAGGAAGGUGAGGACGACGUCAAGUCAUCAUGGCCCUUACGGCCAGGGCGACACACGUGCUACAAUGGGAUGUACAAUGAGACGCAAUACCGCGAGGUGGAGCAAAUCUAUAAAGCAUCUCUCAGUUCGGAUUGUAGUCUGCAACUCGACUACAUGAAGCUGGA